UUAUCACUAAUCAAGCCCGGCUUGCUGUUGGACCUCUUGUCGUUAAAAGACAGGCCCCAAAGAUAAUGACGGUGUUAUUAGAGAACCCUAGAUGCAACGAGCUUUAACCAGCACGCAUGGUAGUGGCCUUUUAACCCGGUCUUUUUUCACCAAUUUAUAAGGUUGACCUCGGAUCAGGUAGGAAUACCCGCUGAACUUAA
rnacentral:misc_RNA from 1 species